rnacentral:rRNA from 1 species
CUUAGAGAUGAUGAGGUUGAUAGGUCAGAAGUGGAAGCGUGGCGACACGUGGAGCGGACUGAUACUAAUCGGUCGAGGACUUAUCCUA